UUAAUGGUUGUGACACUGUUUACUAAUCCUUACUAGUGAGGCAUUCCAGCAACUUUAAAAAUCUUUUCAUUUUGACAAACACUCAUCGAAAGCUUGUUUACGCUUAGAAAUAAAAUUUUCCAUCUAAUCUCCAGGCGAGCAACAAAAACAACGCGCACAAAAAGGCAGCAAAAAGGAGCAAGAAACAAAGGGUAACAACAAGAAACAAAACUCGGUAAACAACAACACACCUUUCCUCGUCGGGUCGACUACUCCCCUCCCCAUCAUUAAAAGGAGCAACCAGGAGAGGUGGAAUGCAUUACCGCUUCUUAUCGUUUUCCAUCCAGCGCGUUUAUUGCUGUGUGUUGAUCUGCUUAAUUCGCUACAUUCCUGCACACAUACACCCAGCCCCGCAAGCUGUGUGACUCACACACAAACCAUCAUAUCCGUGGCCAAACGGGGAAAACCCGGAAUAAUUUGCAGUUUGGUAACACAUUUAAGUGGAUCGGAGCGCUCGAAAGCCCAGAAGAGGCGUACAUUUCCAAUGGCACAAAAAAACAACAUCCAGAUCCAUCUAUUCCAGAACUCCGCCAGCAAACCGACUCAUUUUUUUUAAUUUUCAAUUGUGUUUGUAGGGCCCACACGUGACGUCAUCAAACUAGCCCGUGCACUGUCCAUAUUAACCCCUUUUCUUCCCUCACCCACUCAAAGAAGGGGGUUGUUUUUAUCGCGCACACAAUUUAAGCUGCUAGCGACGCUUGUUUUGAUCAAAACUGCUGUAUGUGUGAGUGUGCUGAAGCAUGGCUGUGUGUGCGUGUCCGGCCGCCGGCUGUUUUAUCUCAUCGGUGUCGUUACGUGGACGUGGACUUUACUUCUCCCUUCGGCUUGCGAGAAUGGUCUGACCGUCCUCCACCCGCAGCAAAAGGGGUGUGUAUGUAAAGGGGGAAGGUAAAUGUAAGACACUGUGACCAAUUGAAAACGGAGCAAGCGUGUGGCGCGUCCAACGGAAACAGCAACAACAACAGCAAAUCAUUCUUGGAGGCUUGGUAGAAUGUGGCGUGACGCGAACGCAUCAAAACAACAACACAAAACAACCGGCCAACCACCGCCACCAAUAGCACACCCCUGCAGCACCGUGGACCCUUAGGCAUUCGACGCGAACACUCGCGGGUAAAAGUAAACAGGUUCGCCGCGGUUCUUGCCUGACCGGGAUGGAAACUUUCAAUUGAAUGAGUGCCCGACAUGGGGAGGGCUGCGCGUGAGUGACCACGCUCAAACGAAUCCAAUUGGAAUGGAAUGUUCCGUCCGGCUCCGGUGUCCCGCUGGGGGAAUGGAAAGGAACUGGAACGAACGAACGAAAAACGACAGGAAAGAAACAUUUCCUUGCUACGCAUAUAAACAGUUUUAUAUCUUUUGCCUACCUGUGAUGGGGUGGGGAUUUAAAUCGAUCAAUCGAUCGCCGAAAGGUCCCCGGCUGCUUCUGCUACAAUAAAACCAGCAACAAAUUUGAGCUAAUUUUACUCCGCUCUAUCUCACCCGCCCUCUGCCAAUGGAACUGCACACCCGUUACAUUGUCAGCAAAGUGUGCUCCAAGGCACGGUAGAGUUGGCAACACAUAAAUCCGGGACACAUGCCGCGCACAUCGAACACACGGCGGCGAUCCUACGCUUCACAGCGUUUACGCUUUAUGACACCGGAAGAACGAUAACCGGCGCUGCUUUCGAUGCCAAUAAACGGCGUUCGGCGAGGUACAAACCGGACGGACACAUUUAACCGUUCCCAUCGUGCAGUUUUUGUUAGUCAAGGUUACACUAGACAGAAAUUUUACCAUGUGACAACAGCAAAAUAACGCAACAAAACAUACCUAAAUACAAGAUCGCAAUCGCGCAAUGCCAAACAAAAACAAAACCUCUCCGGGGUCUCCGUGUCUCAUGCGUUCUUCUUGCUGACUUCCCCGCGCACACUAAUCGCAAGUGUCCAUUCUUGCCAGUGAGCUUAUUCAUUCACAAAAACAACAUUCAAAAACAACCAACAGCCCCCGGGGUUUUGAUGUUGGUCGUACUGUCUUGCGUCAGAAACGACAAAAUAACGAUCCCAACACUGCCGCGGAAACGCGCAUAUUACCUUUCUUUUGCUGACGGUGAAGAACAUCAUACCUAUCUUAACCGCUGCUGCACACGGAAAUAGAAAUAUGGCUCAUUUCUUAGUAAAUGUCUUCAAUCAAAACUGAAUUCAAUUCAAUGGAGGGCUUCGUCGAUGCAAUUCGAUUGCUAAAAAUAACGCCUCCACCUCCACACCUAAUGUGACCUUUACAUUGGUGUCAACAGGGAAAUGAAAUGCGUAACGAACCGCAAGGAUUCCUUUUUUUCCAACCCGAGCACCAUCAUAAACUUCUCCCGAUGGAAAUACGUCUCCUUCUCUCACUCUCUCUCUCUCUCUCUUGUCCCGAGACACACCUACUACACUGCCGCUUAUUGCACAAGGGGGUAGAGAGUUUGUUAUCGAAAUGUAUUACGCAUCGUGGGACUUAAUAGAAAAUUAUCACGCAAAUGCUGAGCACGGUGGUCCAAUAACAACAACCCACGCCCGUACCGGGUCCGUGUGUCUUACGCAAUCGGGCCAAGCCAAGAUUGAUUAAGCUAGAAUGCUUUAUUGAUGAUAAAGAAAAAUGGAAUAAUUAUUAUGCCUACAUUAAUCGAUAAUCGACAUAAUGGAAACGUCCGAAUGGAAACUUAUUUAAUUUUUUACAGCAAAUAAUACAUAGUUGUGGAACACUUCCUUGACUCUUUCCUUAUGGGAAGCAAAUGAUGGAAAUUGGACGCACCAUUUUUGGACAGGCUCGUUAAA